CAGCCGCCACGGGAAUACGUAGGGCGCAAGCGUUAUCCGGAAUUAUUGGGCGUAAAGAGCUCGUAGGCGGUUUGUCGCGUCUGCCGUGAAAGUCCGGGGCUCAACCCCGGAUCUGCGGUGGGUACGGGCAGACUAGAGUGAUGUAGGGGAGACUGGAAUUCCUGGUGUAGCGGUGAAAUGCGCAGAUACCAGGAGGAACACCGAUGGCGAAGGCAGGUCUCUGGGCAUUAACUGACGCUGAGGAGUGAAAGCAUGGGGAGCGAACAGGAUUAGAUACCCGCGUAGUCCCUGUCUCCUUAUA
rnacentral:rRNA from 1 species